GAUGAAGAACGUAGCGAAAUGCGAUAAGUAAUGUGAAUUGCAGAAUUCAGUGAAUCAUCGAAUCUUUGAACGCACAUUGCGCCCGCCAGUAUUCUGGCGGGCAUGCCUGUCCGAGCGUCAUUUCAACCCUCGAACCCCUCCGGGGGGUCGGCGUUGGGGAUCGGGAACCCCUAAGACGGGAUCCCGGCCCCGAAAUACAGUGGCGGUCUCGCCGCAGCCUCUCCUGCGCAGUAGUUUGCACAACUCGCACCGGGAGCGCGGCGCGUCCACAUCCGUAAAACACCCAACUUUCUGAAAUGUUGACCUCGGAUCAGGUAGGAAUACCCGCUGAACUUAAGCAUAUCAAUAAGCGGAGGA
rnacentral:misc_RNA from 1 species